GAAAACAGAGUGAUGGUCGAUAUACAGAUUGGUGAUAGAUAUACAAAGUGGUGAAAGAUAUAAAGAGAGGUGAUAGAUAGACAGAGGGGUGAUAGAUAUACAGAGUUGUGAUAGAUAUACAGAGUGAUGAGAAAUAUACAGAGUGGUGAUAGAUAUAAAGAUUGUUGAUAGAUAUACAGAAUGUUGGUAGAUAUACAGAUAAUUGAUAGAUAUAAAAAGGUAGUGAUAGACAUACAAAUGGGUUUAAGAUAUACAGGGUGGUG
rnacentral:lncRNA from 1 species